UGCAGUCGACGGCAGCAUGAUCUAGCUUGCUAGAUUGAUGGCGAGUGGCGAACGGGUGAGUAAUACAUCGGAACGUGCCCUGUAGUGGGGGAUAACUAGUCGAAAGAUUAGCUAAUACCGCAUACGACCUGAGGGUGAAAGUGGGGGACCGCAAGGCCUCAUGCUAUAGGAGCGGCCGAUGUCUGAUUAGCUAGUUGGUGAGGUAAAGGCUCACCAAGGCGACGAUCAGUAGCUGGUCUGAGAGGACGAUCAGCCACACUGGGACUGAGACACGGCCCAGACUCCUACGGGAGGCAGCAGUGGGGAAUUUUGGACAAUGGGGGCAACCCUGAUCCAGCAAUGCCGCGUGUGUGAAGAAGGCCUUCGGGUUGUAAAGCACUUUUGUCCGGAAAGAAAUCGCACUUACUAAUAUUAGGUGUGGAUGACGGUACCGGAAGAAUAAGGACCGGCUAACUACGUGCCAGCAGCCGCGGUAAUACGUAGGGUCCAAGCGUUAAUCGGAAUUACUGGGCGUAAAGCGUGCGCAGGCGGUUGUGCAAGACCGAUGUGAAAUCCCCGGGCUUAACCUGGGAAUUGCAUUGGUGACUGCACGGCUAGAGUGUGUCAGAGGGGGGUAGAAUUCCACGUGUAGCUGUGAAAUGCGUAGAGAUGUGGAGGAAUACCGAUGGCGAAGGCAGCCCCCUGGGAUAACACUGACGCUCAUGUACGAAAGCGUGGGGAGCAAACAGGAUUAGAUACCCUGGUAGUCCACGCCCUAAACGAUGUCAACUAGUUGUUGGGGAUUCAUUUCCUUAGUAACGUAGCUAACGCGUGAAGUUGACCGCCUGGGGAGUACGGUCGCAAGAUUAAAACUCAAAGGAAUUGACGGGGACCCGCACAAGCGGUGGAUGAUGUGGAUUAAUUCGAUGCAACGCGAAAAACCUUACCUACCCUUGACAUGCCACUAACGAAGCAGAGAUGCAUUAGGUGCUCGAAAGAGAAAGUGGACACAGGUGCUGCAUGGCUGUCGUCAGCUCGUGUCGUGAGAUGUUGGGUUAAGUCCCGCAACGAGCGCAACCCUUGUCUCUAGUUGCUACGAAAGGGCACUCUAGAGAGACUGCCGGUGACAAACCGGAGGAAGGUGGGGAUGACGUCAAGUCCUCAUGGCCCUUAUGGGUAGGGCUUCACACGUCAUACAAUGGUGCAUACAGAGGGUUGCCAAGCCGCGAGGUGGAGCUAAUCCCAGAAAAUGCAUCGUAGUCCGGAUCGUAGUCUGCAACUCGACUACGGAAGCUGGAAUCGCUAGAAUCGCGGAUCA
rnacentral:rRNA from 1 species